rfam:Nicotiana attenuata strain TT chromosome 1, whole genome shotgun sequence.
UUACUUGUCUGAACGGGGUCAUUGGGUGAUCAAAACGGCCCAUCUCCUAGGCUGGUGACCUUAAUGGCACUUUGUAGGGGUGCCCAUCUAAGGCCAGCCCAAGUAGUCGAGCCUACAUCAUAAUUUGUGACAGUGAGGUCGGUGUGCCCCUUU